rnacentral:rRNA from 1 species
CGUAUAGUACCGUGAGGGAAAGGUGAAAAGAACCCCGGGAGGGGAGUGAAAUAGAACCUGAAACCCUGCACUUACAAGCUGUGGAAGCACAUUUCUUGUGUGACCGCGUACUUUUUGUAGAACGGGCAAACGAGUUACGUUAAGUAGCAAGGUUAAGCACUUAAGGUGUGGAGCCGUAGCGAAAGCGAGUUUUAACUGAGCGUUCAGUUACUUGACGUAGACCCGAAACCGGGCGACCUACCCAUGAGCAGGAUGAAGCGAAAGUAAAAUUUCGUGGAGGUCCGAACCCACGAGCGUUGAAAAGCUCGGGGAUGACUUGUGGGUAGCGGUGAAAUUCCAAUCGAGCCCGGAGAUAGCUGGUUCUCCCCGAAAUAGCUUUAGGGCUAGCCUCAAGGUGAGAGAUACGGAGGUAGAGCACUGAAUGUCCUAGGGGGUAUUGCACCUACCGAAGACUAUCAAACUCCGAAUGCCGUCAUCUUAUACUUGGGAGUCAGACUGUGGGUGAUAAGAUUCAUAGUCGAAAGGGCAACAGCCCAGAUCGUCAGCUAAGGUCCCUAAAUGUAAGUUAAGUGGUAAAGGAUGUGGGAUUGCACAGACAACCAGGAUGUUGGCUUAG